GUUCGAGUGACGCAGUGGCUAGCGUGUGAGAUUGCAAAUCUCGAAGUCCAUGGUUCGAAUCCGUGCUCGGACU